GAUGUCAAGACGGCUGCCUCACAAACACCCAAGGACA
rnacentral:tRNA from 1 species